GAUGAAGAACGCAGCGAAAUGCGAUAAGUAGUGUGAAUUGCAGAAUUUAGUGAAUCAUCGAGUCUUUGAACGCACAUUGCGCCCCCUGGUAUUCCGGGGGGCAUGCCUGUCCGAGCGUCAUUGCUGCCCUCAAGCACGGCUUGUGUGUUGGGCCUCCGUCCUCCUCCCGGGGGACGGGCCCGAAAGGCAGCGGCGGCACCGCGUCCGGUCCUCGAGCGUAUGGGGCUUCGUCACCCGCUCUUGUAGGCCCGGCCGGCGCUUGCCGACACAUCAAUCUUUUUUCCAGGUUGACCUCGGAUCAGGUAGGGAUACCCGCUGAACUUAAGCAUAUCAAUAAGCGGAGGA
rnacentral:misc_RNA from 1 species